UACGAACUGUGCGAACGUUAUUCGGAAUCACUGGGCUUACAGGGUGCGUAGGCGGCUUGUUAAGUAGGGUGUGAAAGCCCCCGGCUCAACCGGGGAAUUGCGCCCUAAACUGGCGAGCUGGAGUGAGAUAGGGGUGUGUGGAACUUCCGGUGGAGCGGUGAAAUGUGUUGAUAUCGGAAGGAACGCCGGUGGCGAAAGCGGCACACUGGAUCUUGUCUGACGCUGAGGCACGAAAGCCAGGGGAGCGAACGGG
rnacentral:rRNA from 1 species